AGCAGCCGCGGUAAUUCCAGCUCCAAUAGCGUAUAUUAAAGUUGUUGCAGUUAAAAAGCUCGUAGUUGAAUUUCGGGGUUAGUAGGUUGGUCAUGCCUCUGGUAUGUACUGGUCUCACUGAUUCCUCCUUCCUGAUGAGCCGUAAUGCCAUUAAUUUGGUGUUGCGGGGAAUUUGGACUGUUACUUUGAAAAAAUUAGAGUGUUUAAAGCAAGCUAACGCUUGAAUACAUUAGCAUGGAAUAAUGAAAUAGGACGUUCGAUCCUAUUUUGUUGGUUUCUAGGAUUGACGUAAUGAUUAAUAGGGAUAGUUGGGGGCAUUAGUAUUCAAUUGUCAGAGGUGGAAUUCUUGGAUUUAUUGAAGACUAACUACUGCGAAAGCAUUUGCCAAGGAUGUUUUCAUUAAUCAAGAACGAAAGUUAGGGGAUCGAAGACGAUCAGAUACCGUCGUAGUCUUAACCAUAAACUAUGCCGACUAGGGAUCGGAUGAUGUUAAUUUUUUAAUGACUCAUUCGGCGCCUUA
rnacentral:rRNA from 1 species